AUUGAACGCUAGCGGGAUGCCUUACACAUGCAAGUCGAACGGAGUGGCGAACGGGUGAGUAAUGUAUCGGAACGUGCCCAGUAGCGGGGGAUAACUACGCGAAAGCGAAGCUAAUACCGCAUACUAUUGAUGCGGCCGAUAUCGAUUUAGCUAGAUGGUGGGGUAACGGCUAACCAAGGUGACGAUCCGUAGCUGGUUUGAGAGGACGCCAAGCCACAUUGGGACUGAGACACGGCCCAGACUCCUACGGUAGGCAGCAGUGGGGAAUUUUGGACAAUGGGGGAAACCCUGAUCCAGCCAUCCCGCGUGUGCGAUGAAGGCCUUCGGGUUGUAAAGCACUUUUGGCAGGAAGGCGGUACCUGCAGAAUAAGCACCGGCUAACUACGUGCCAGCCGCCGCGGUAAUAC
rnacentral:rRNA from 1 species